rnacentral:tRNA from 2 species
GCCCGAUUAGCUCAGAUGGUAGAGCAUCAGACUUUUAAUCUGAGGGUCAUGGGUUCAAGCCCCAUAUCGGGCG